UACAGAGGUCCCAAGCGUUGUUCGGAUUCACUGGGCGUAAAGGGCUCGUAGGUGGCCAACUAAGUCAGACGUGAAAUCCCUCGGCUUAACCGGGGAACUGCGUCUGAUACUGGAUGGCUUGAGUUCGGGAGAGGGAUGCGGAAUUCCAGGUGUAGCGGUGAAAUGCGCAGAUAUCAGGAGGAACACCGGUGGCGAAGGCGGGUCUCUGGGCCGAUACUGACGCUGAGGAGCGAAAGCGUGGGGAGCGAACAGG
rnacentral:rRNA from 1 species